UUAAUCAUUUCUGUUGUUAAAAAGAACUGAAUAAAAAAUAAAGUUUCCAAUGUGAUAGGGAGGAGAUAAGCAAAAUGGUCGACGUUACAGUGGCAGCCUGGAUUUCUCGCGCACCUUGUCUAACCCCAAACUCAUUUAAUUCAAUUUCAAAUGGGAAAUCCAGAAACAAGACAACCAAAGUUGUCCCAACAAGCACCAAAGCAUGGAAGAUUAGAACCGCCGUUGCUGCUGCUUCUUGUUCGUCCUCAGUUUUUGGGUCUUUUAAUCAAACAGUUGGUGGACAAGUUUUGCGAGAAGGAGAAUGUCUUGAAAAAUAUAAAAAAGAGGGCAAAGGCAAGAAAAGGGUAUUCUUUUUGGACGUUAAUCCGCUUUGUUAUGCUGGAAAUAAACCAAGCUUACAGUCUUUUGGUCACUGGGUUUCUCUUUUCUUCUCUCAAGUCUGCCUCACCGACCCUGUUAUUGCCGUUUUUGAUGGUGACAACUGUAAUGAGCUGCGAAGACGGUUAUUACCUUCAUAUAAAGCGCAUAGGAGGAAAUUCUUUCCACAAUCAACAAUUUCAAAAAAAUAUGUCAGGGGUCAAGUUGGGAGAUCACAGCAGCUCAUCAUGGAUGUUCUUAGAAAAUGCAAUGUGCCAGUCCUAAAAGUUGAAGGAAAUGAAGCAGAUGAUGUUGUGGCCACACUGGUGGAACAAGUUUUAGAAAGAGGAUAUCACGUGGUUAUUGCUUCUCCUGAUAAGGAUUUUAAGCAGCUGAUUUCUGAAAAUGUUCAAAUUGUUAUGCCUCUGGUGGAGUUGAAGCGGUGGUCCUUUUAUACUCUGAAGCACUACAUGGCUCAAUAUAAUUGUGAUCCACAGUCUGACUUGAGCCUUAGAUGCAUCAUGGGUGACGAGGUUGAUGGCGUUCCUGGGAUUCAACAUUUGGUUCCUGGUUUUGGUCGGAGAACUGCCUUAAAGCUUUUAAAAAAGCAUGGUUCACUGGAAAACUUACUAAAUGCAGCAUCAGUGAGAACUGUUGGCAGACAGUAUGCACAAGAGGCCCUCACAAAGUAUGCUGAUUAUCUGUGGAGAAAUUAUGAAGUCCUAGCCUUGAGGAGUUUCCCCAUUUAUUCUACAGGGACGUUGAUGUUCAUCUUCAAGAAGAAUGGUUGCUUGAAAGGGACACAAGUAACGAUGCAAAUGUUUUAUCUAACUUUUUUAGACUGUUGGAAGAAACUAAUAAAUCUACUCGUGAAAGUAGAUCUAAUUUCUCAAAUGGUUAAGCCCCAAGUGCUGAUGAGGAAUAACAAGAUUGAAAUAAGUAAGAUUUUGGUGAGUGAAAAAUGAAACAACAGCUCAAGGGGCAGUGAUACUUCAAUGAGAGAGCUGGAGAAGCACUGUGCUUGAACUGAGAAUGAACUGAAUACUAGCAUGUAAAGUAUAGGAAGACUAGGAACUUAAACGAUGCGGGCUUGUGCAGUGUGGAUAAUGUUUCAUUUGAAGAUCGGAAACACGAGUAGGUUAAAUUCCAAAUACUUGUAAUUCAAGAGGAUAAGGAAUUUAAACUCAAAAUUGUUUAUACAGUUAGCACUGCCUAUAGACUUGUAAAUUUAAACUAGUUGUGCAUGAGAUGAAAUGCUAUUAUAAUUAUGCAUGCCCCUUGAAUUGAUGCUAA